CCCAGUUUGAGCUUCUCAGCUGCUUUGUUUACCUACUCAAGCCUCAGUAGUGGCGGGCACCCCUCCCCCAGCCUCACUGCCGCCUUGCCGUUCGAUCUCAGACUGCUGCGCUAGCAAUGAUGAUUUUAUAAGGCAUUUCUCCUUUUGCUUGGUUCAUUCUCUGGUGCGUGCCACCAUGUAAGACCGUGCCUUUCACCUUCCACCAUGAUUGUGAGGCCUCCCCAGCCAUGUGGAAUGGCAAGCAAGAUGAUAAUUUGAUUUUUGAGUUAACCUGAUGAGUUUUUGUAGCUGUCAAGAGCUCUUAAAUUGAGCCAAUGAAAGCAAAAUUCAAUAGAAGAAAGCAAAAAAAUGAAGAAGACAGCAUUAAAGGAAAAGAUCAAGCUUUCUAGAAUCAUACUGGCUAUUAAUAAUGCCUUUGGCUUUGGGAUUGGGAAUUUUUGAUGUGACCAAACAGCCAUUUAUGUUCUCAGAAAACUGGAAUAGGAAUAUCCUAUGGUGGAAGAAAAGAAUGGACCAUGAUGAAAAUUUCUACACCAGAAGAGUUUAAAGUAAUUAUGUCCUUCCUCCCCUCUAGCCCCAACUCCCUACCCAUCAUCCCUAAUUUCACUACAUUUGAUACAUCAGUCAAGGGACUGAUGUGAUUUAAAUAGCAAAUAGAGAAUCUUCCAAGAACCCUGACUAUUUGAACAUUGCUUCUAUGGUCUGAGCAGCUAAGCCCUUGCCCACCCUUAGUAGGGCAAGGAAGAGACCCUUACUCCUAAGCUUUUGAUGCCAAAUACAUUUGUCUUUCUACUAACAUUAGUGCAAACAAUAAGAUUGAGAUUGUAAACACCUGAAUCUCUUUUAGCUGGAUCACAUUUGAUAGGUAGUAGCUAUGAUCAGAGUAACCUAGUUGCUCAUUAUGUAGUAAACAGUGCCCAGGGCACCCUGGGGCUGUGGAGUGACCUCUUAUGACUAAAUUGCAAAUGGUAACCCUUGAUGAGACAUUUAUAAGUUGGUAUAUUAUUUCUACUUCAAACAGCUGCUCUUAACUUAUAUCAUGAUUUUCACAAUGGAGAAAUAACAACUAAAUAACGAACUAAUGGAGGUGAGGGUUUGGAGUGUGUAUGCACUGUGCACUCUCUGAUCACAGCUGGGGUUUUUCCCCUUAAAUUGUUUGAAGCUAUUAUACUAUAUCAUUUUGUAGUAACAAAUGGUGUUGGGAUGAUGAAGAAUUAUUUAAGUGAAACAUUAUAAGUUCUCUAUAAUAAUAACUUCACCGUAUCAUUUUGAAAAGUCACAUAAUAGAGACAUCUGAAAUGUCGUAUUCAGUGGCAGUGUACUCAUCAGACCAGGGCAGUAAAACAAGAUGCUCCACUGAGAUUUUGAAUAGAAUGUAAUGGUCUUUGUGCAUAGAUGUGAGUGGAUCCAAGGGAACCAACAAGUAUGUUGAGGUACCCAGGGACUCAGAACCCAUUACUGCCCAUGGGCAUGAGAGGCUAAAGAGAGAUGAUGAUGUCACUAGAGCCCAGUGACAGAGUCAAGAAAGGAGGAGAGCAUGACAAAAGCAACCACUGACAGAGCCCCCAAAGUUGAGGAAGAGAGAGAGUAGAGAAAACAGUAUCUUGACCUCUCCCUGCUUCCACUCUCAGAUCCCCUUCCUGUGUCUUACCACUGGCAGAUCCAACCAGAAGCCAAAGGGAAAAAGUGCUCCAUUUAUGUAGUCAGUAAGAGUAAAUUUCUGGAGCAAAAGCAAGGUAGAAAAGGGUAAGCAGAUUAGGGGUAAAGGCGUGGCACGAAAUGUGGAAUAAUCACAACUCCUCACUGCUGGUGAGCCCUAGUGUUUGCUUUUGGUCCUGCUCAACAUUUUUAACCACUUGGGUAAAGAAAUAGUGCCAGAAUAUCAGACUGUGAAUAGCAAAAAGCUGAAAUCUGUGAUUAACCAAGAAGUUUUCUGUCUAUCAAGAUGCAAAAUUAUCUUGACAGAUAGAAAUCUACAAAAUAAAAGUUUAUAAGAAAAUUAGAUAAGUUUCCCAGUUAGGAUAAUAAAAAGCUUUUUUUCAGGACAAUGGGAGGGGUGGGAAAAGUGCUUGAUAACAAUACACAUCCUAAAAGAUGUGAAUGUCAGUUGAUGAUGGGUCAUGAUUGCUUACAAAGCAAAUGUAAUUUGAGGUUGCACUUUCAUUGGCUGCUAGACAUCUCCAGCUGCCUAUUCCACAUGUUCCUCAAAUGCAGUUUGCCAAAGCCUAAUCCUGUUACCUUCCCAAUCUCCCUGUGAAACUGUUUGAACUCCUCUGUUCUUUCUUUGGUUAUCGGUAUACUGCCCACAGGGAUCUCAGCUAGGAGCCUUGGAAUUAUCACAUUUCUCCUUCCCGUCCCAUGUUUAAUGCAUCACUAAAUCAUGCUGAUUCUAUCUCAAGACAUCACCUGAAUACCCAAUUUUAUUUCUGUACUCCAUUGUCCUUGCCUUUUUCAAGCCCCACUGUUUCCAGUCUCUAGACUUCUAUACCAGCUUUCUCAUUUUCGUGACUUCAGUCCAGUCUCCCUACAGCUGUCAGUUACCUUCAGAUAAACAAAUGGGCAUUUGUCAGUCCUAACUUUAUAAACUCUGUUCUCAUGGUGGUAUUUAGGACUAAGGGCGGACUCAUUAUUUAGUAUAAAAGACACAUGCCAGUCUCAUGUCCAUGUAGGACUUGACUUCUAGUACAUACACGUCUUUACUCCAGCAACAAAGAACUGCUGUUCUGAAAAUACCACAAGGCUUUGUGCUUUUGUGCUUGUGUAUUCCCUCUGCCUGAAGUGCUUCUCCUCCUCUGCCACUCUUGAUACACCCAUAUUCAGCUUUCCUGACACCUCCCAAGCAUCUACUUCUGAUUUCCUCCUAGAAAAUGUGCAGCCACAGUUCUUUGCUCUAACUUUUGCAAUAACACUUGCCUGUUUGUAUGUAUCCUUCCACCACUAUUUCUAAUUUAUUUUUACUCCCCUAGCACUCAGUAGAAUAUCUUCCAUAUAGAUUUCAUCCAAUCUAAUUCCAUUAGAUUUCAACUAAAUCUUUGUUGACUUAUGAGUGCAUUAAUUAAUUAAUUGAAAUGUAUUGUCUAGAAUAUAGAAGCUAAUGAUAUCACUACAUUGGUCAGGCUAUGUGUAUUUUGCUUGACUUGGCCAUUUUAAGAAAUCCACAAACUAUAUUAUAACCAGAAGAUGACACAUGGCAUAGAGACCAUAUCAUAUUUGGUCCUUCUAUUGGUCUUUCUUCUGAAAUAGGAAUAAGAUAAUUUAUUCUGAGGUUACCUCAUAUUUCUAAUCAUAUAACAAUAUCAAGGCAAAAAUAGUCCUCAUGCUAUGAAGUUGAAAUACAGCUAUGCAGCACAUAAUGACAUUCCAGUCAAAGAAGGACUAUAUAUACCAUGGUGGUCUCAUAAGAUUUUAAUGGAGCUGAAGAAUUUGUAUCCCCUAGUGAUAUUGUAGCCCCGUAACAUUGUAGGACAAUGCAUUAUUCAUGUUUUUGUGAUGAUGCUGGUAUAAACAAACCUACUGUGAUGACUGUCAUAUAAAAGUAUAGCACACACAAUUAUAUAUAGUACCCAAUACUUGAUAAUAAAUGAUUGUG
rnacentral:lncRNA from 1 species